GAUGAACGCUGGCGGCGUGCCUAAUACAUGCAAGUCGAGCGAACGGACGAGAAGCUUGCUUCUCUGAUGUUAGCGGCGGACGGGUGAGUAACACGUGGAUAACCUACCUAUAAGACUGGGAUAACUUCGGGAAACCGGAGCUAAUACCGGAUAAUAUUUUGAACAGCAUGGUUCAUAAGUGAAAGACGGUAUUGCUGUCAAUUUUAGAUGGAUCCGCGCUGCAUUAGCUAGUUGGUAAGGUAACGGCGUACAAAGGCAACGAUGCAUAGCCGACCUGAGAGGGUGAUCGGCCACACUGGAACUGAGACACGGUCCAGACUCCUACGGGGGGCAGCAGUAGGAAAUCUUCCGCAAUGGGCGAAAGCCUGACGGAGCAACGCCGCGUGAGUGAUGAAGGUCUUCGGAUCGUAAAACUCUGUUAUUAGGGAAGAACAUAUGUGUAAGUAACUGUGCACAUCUUGACGGUACCUAAUCAGAAAGCCACGGCUAACUACGUG
rnacentral:rRNA from 1 species